rnacentral:rRNA from 1 species
GCCCCCAGCGGGCGUUCGGAAAAUGUGGCGUUUAGGAGGUGGCGCGCCGCGGCCGGACCUUGCAGCAAGUCCCCCUGACCGGGGCUGUGACCCAGAGUGGGUGCGAGGCCCAUAGCUGCUGCGUCCGCCGCGGAUGUCACCUCUUGGGAGUCGGGUUGCUUGGGAGUGCAACCCUAAGCGGGUGGUAAACUCCACCUAAGGCUAAAUACGGCCGUGAGACCGAUAGCAAACAAGUACCGUGAGGGAAAGUUGCAAAGAACUUUGAAGAGAGAGUUCAAGAGUACGUGAAACUGCUCAGAGGCAAACGUGUGGGCCCUCGAAGUCCUCCGGCGGGGGGAUUCAGUCAGGAGGGGCUGAGGUGGCUAGCGAUAACCACGGACCCUUUGCGGGGCCGGGUCGCUGCCGCGGUCUCGGUCCGACCUGACGCAUUUCCUCCCGCGCUGGGACGCCGCAUCCGGUUGGGUAGCUGCGAGAGUCGGCCAUGGGGGUGGGCGACGGAAGGUGGCCGGUGGCGUUGCUCUUCGCUGCCGGUUGUUAGCCRGCCCGCCCGUGGCGCGACACCCGACCGAGGUUGACUCGUUCCCUUCUGGGAACUGGCCGCCCCCUUCGGAGCGGCGGCUGGCAGGUGCAUCGCGGUUUCGCCUCUCCACUCUCAGAGUGCCUGGCGGCCCGCGUUCCCUGGUGGGGAGCAGCGGCUGGCGGCGAGUGAGUCGGUCACCCACACGACCCGUCUUGAAACACGGACCAAGGAGUCUAACAUGUGCGCGAGUCACGGGGUCUUGAACAGGCCCAGGGGCGCAAUGAAAGUGAAGGUCGGCCUCGCGCCGUCCGUGCUGGGACCCCUCGUCCUCCGCGGCGGGGGUGCACCAGCGAUCCGUCCUGUCCGAUUUAUCGGUUGGCUGGAGUCUGAGCGCACACGUUGGGACCCGAAAGAUGGUGAACUAUGCCUGGGCAGGACGAAGCCAGAGGAAAC